rnacentral:rRNA from 1 species
CAAAGGCCCCGGGAGAAAGGGGGGAGUAGCGAGCGUAGCGGACCUUCGGAACGAAGCCAACUCAAGAAAGGGUGGCGUCGAAAGGAGGUCUAUAUUUGGGAUAGGGAGAGCAGGAGCGAACAACACUUCGAGCACUUAGGGCGCGGCUAGAGCAGCAGCCGGAGCUCCUCAUCGUCGGGGACUACCGCUGGCGGCACCGCAGCGUCGGCGCUGUGAAGUGGGAGCCGCCGCUCGGCUCCCGUCGGUAGACGCGUCGGUCGUGUAGUUUCUAAACGUGGGACCUGUUUCAUAUGCCUAAGUCCAAGCAUACGUCUUCACAACAACUAGAUUCCUCAGUUUUUAAGGUAAGGGUUUAAAGAUUCUCUUUCACGAUAAAUUGUUCAAGUGGUAGCCUUAAACUCUUCUAGUAAAACUCACGAUCUACCAAUCUUAAAUCCUCUGUCUCCUAUCGGAAAGUCUCUUGACCUUCCACCCAAGUGUCAUAAGGUAACCGAAGAGUUCUACUACCGUCACCACACAGACAAUUACCUCAUGGUGUUCAACUAGGUCGUUCAGUUUACUUCCUUUAUUCCCACUUUAACCUAUUUCGUAACGUUUUACUUCUGUAUUCGUGACCGGAACAGGUUAGUUAUGUACUACGACGCUCUAGAUAACUUAACCGAAAGGAACUAGUGUCGUUUAGUAGUUAUUUGAGAACCAAGGGUUUCUACACCGAACCACAGCUAUUGUUACGUACCUAUUUUAGCGACAGAAUGGUCCGACGACAAUCGAGCAAUGACGUUCGUCAAUAGCUACAAAGUAGUUCCCCCUUGCCGUCUCUAUCUCUAUAAUUACAUAAACAAGUUUCCUCAAAUAGGGCGGAAGAGUCGAGAGAUCUACCACAAUAUGUCUUACUUAACCGAUUUUCCCUUGGAAGUAAUAUAGUCACCAUAAGUAGAUUAGUUUUAGGUAACCACCACUCCUGUAAACACUUGUGAAAACUUUUACUAGCUGCUAAAUUAAGACGUUGUCGUUAUACGUCGCUUCCGUUCGGUUACCUAUGAUCACUUUCACUGGAAAGAAACGAACACGAACCAGACAAGACAGAACGACGAUAAUGCUUCGAUCCUAGUCGUUUUCAAAGAACAGUCGUCAAAAAGAGGUACCAGGGACUAUAAUAACCGGCUAAGGACCUAUACGAAGAACUUAAGCAAGGAUAUUCAUUUCGCAUAUGGAACUGCUUUCUAUAACCAGAAGUCUCUCUUAAGAACACGUUAAAACCAGGAGCACGACGACAAGGAUUCAAACGAUUACUAGUACCUGAACUCUAUAGUAAAACCUAACUAGACCAAGUCUUUGUUAAUGAUUCCCGAGAACUAGCACUUUUCUAUACCAGUUCUGACUGUUGUUCACUUUGAUAACUCCAAAACCUUUUCCUGGAUCGCUAUAAACCAAAAAAGUAACGAAAUCCGUCUUCAUGUGUUCAUAUGGACAGAAGGUUUUCAGUAUGUCUAAGUUUACUAAGAUAGUUAUCAUAACAUUCCAUGGAAUAACCACCCUCGCAGGAUAUAAUAGGUGUCAACAGGAGCUAAUCAAGAAUAGUCAACAUACACCUCCAACAAACACUUCUCGAACUCACCGAAGGUAAAAUGAUACUUCUACACGGUUGCCGUUAUCAACUAUGAGUUCCGUCUCUUCUUUACGGAUUUUCUCUUGACUAUAGUUCCCACGAUUUACAGACGUGAAUAACCUACUGAUCAAAAUAUUUCAUAUCGAGUACCGAACUCUUGGGGAAUUUACAUUUCCGUCGUGCUAAGGAUAGAUUCCCCGUACGGUACAACUCGCUGACGUACUGACUCGAACUGUAUCGUUUUUUAUUAUACGGAUUUCUGGCUUCAAAAGUUCUUUGACCUCAUAACCAACUACGCUGACUCGAUCGAAGGUAACUGUUCAGUGAACUUUCACAGCUCCUUCGAAACCAAUUCAAUCUUUUAAACGAAGUUCUUAACGUAGAAAGGUCAAGGUUGAGACCAUUCCUCCUAGAUUUCCGACGUACAAGACUAGAUCUUUACUAGUCUUCUGACUUCUUCCUUCGUCUUAAAGAACUCCGAAGGAAAGCUCGUUUUCGUCUUAUAGACCUCCGACUAUGAUAAUCGUCUCACAAUGGAGGACGACCGCUCCCUCUUGUGCCUUUCUGCCCGUCGUACCAAUUACUCCAAAAUUGUGGUGUUUUUGGUCAUUUAUCCUACCUCUUGUUAGCAGCAGGCAAAACCCUGUAAAAACCAUGCUGAAGUCCUUCCUUUUAACACGGUCGUGUUCUUCGACACCUAGUCCUACGAAGACGAUGGUUCCACCUAGUUUAUCUGUACCUCAGUUUACUGUAGGCGGCGAAGCUUGUCAACUCUGCACUCAACUAACUCAAUCUUUCCUCUCACGUCUUCUCAUGUCUACCACGAUCUUUUCUCCUCAAGGUCCUUUGCCUCCAAGGUCUACUUUGUUACUCGGGAAGACUCAGUCGUUGGGGAGACAGUCCCGGAAGACCAAGUCAUUAGUUCUUUCUUUUACAAUAAUGUUUUAGCCAUCUCUUUCAAUUCCUCUCAUGUUGCUAACACAACGUUCCCUGUGUCGAGAAUCGUUAACUGUGUCCUCGACGAUACCCAAAUGACUUUUCUAGAGAAUAACCCCUCCUUGAUUGAGUCUUCCUCUUCGUCCGAGAAGUCUCUUGGGACUGUCUAAACCGUAGACAACAAGGUUAUCCUUAUGAGUACGAAGAUGGUCAAUGACGACAACCCGUACGACGAUAAAACCGAAAGUAGGUCUCUAUACACGGAAGGUACUAGGGUAGGUGUAUACCGGGGCUCUCCAAUCUAGAGGAGUCCGUCGAACUCCUUCACUUCCUUUACUUUAACGGACUUCCGUCGUCACUUCUAUAAAGACUGCGUUAUCCAAACUCUCCACUGGUUCACUUUAUUCGACUGGUACAUGUCUGCCUGUGUUCAUAUAAAGACUAACAGAAAAGACAUUUCUACAAAAACUUGUUCUCCACCCUCCCAAGCAAAGGAAUAUGAGAUGAGGAUCUUCUGGAGAGUCACGUACGACUACCCUCAUGUCGAUGUGUACAAUGUUGGUAUGCUACGUACCCGUAUGCAACUCCCCGAUAAGAAGGAUUUCAAUAUACGGAAGCAUCUAGAAACAGGUAUGAAUUGUCAAUGUUGAAUGUUCUCAUAAACCACGGGUGAGUCGUAAAUACUAGUUGCAGGUUCAAGGAAAACGUAUUACCGAAACAUCUCAUCCGUAAAACUGUUCACCUAGCUUAUGGAUCGAUCUAUAAACACGUAGUGUACAACAGUACAUUCGGGUACAUAAAUAUAAACUCUAUUAAUCGACAAGUAUGUACUUGAACGGAUCCUGGACGUUAAAGCAU